AUUGAACGCUGGCGGCAUGCCUUACACAUGCAAGUCGAACGGUAACAGGUCUUCGGAUGCUGACGAGUGGCGAACGGGUGAGUAAUACAUCGGAACGUGCCCGAUCGUGGGGGAUAACGGAGCGAAAGCUUUGCUAAUACCGCAUACGAUCUACGGAUGAAAGCAGGGGACCGCAAGGCCUUGCGCGGACGGAGCGGCCGAUGGGCAGAUUAGGUAGUUGGUGGGGAUAAAAGCUUACCAAGCCGACGAUCUGUAGCUGGUCUGAGAGGACGACCAGCCACACUGGGACUGAGACACGGCCCAGACUCCUACGGGAGGCAGCAGUGGGGAAUUUUGGACAAUGGGCGCAAGCCUGAUCCAGCCAUGCCGCGUGCAGGAUGAAGGCCUUCGGGUUGUAAGCACUUUUCGGAGGAAGAGGAAGGACUGUACUCCCAGAAUAAGCCUCGGCUAACUAACGUG
rnacentral:rRNA from 1 species